GCGGAUGUGGCGAAAUUGGUAGACGCACCAGAUUUAGGUUCUGGCGCCGCAAGGUGUGAGAGUUCGAGUCUCUCCAUCCGCACCA
rnacentral:tRNA from 5 species